rnacentral:rRNA from 1 species
CGGACGGGUGAGUAAUGUCUGGGAAACUGCCUGAUGGAGGGGGAUAACUACUGGAAACGGUAGCUAAUACCGCAUAAUGUCGCAAGACCAAAGUGGGGGACCUUCGGGCCUCAUGCCAUCAGAUGUGCCCAGAUGGGAUUAGCUAGUAGGUGGGGUAACGGCUCACCUAGGCGACGAUCCCUAGCUGGUCUGAGAGGAUGACCAGCCACACUGGAACUGAGACACGGUCCAGACUCCUACGGGAGGCAGCAGUGGGGAAUAUUGCACAAUGGGCGCAAGCCUGAUGCAGCCAUGCCGCGUGUGUGAAGAAGGCCUUCGGGUUGUAAAGCACUUUCAGCGGGGAGGAAGGCGAUAAGGUUAAUAACCUUGUCGAUUGACGUUACCCGCAGAAGAAGCACCGGCUAACUCCGUGCCAGCAGCCGCGGUAAUACGGAGGGUGCAAGCGUUAAUCGGAAUUACUGGGCGUAAAGCGCACGCAGGCGGUCUGUCAAGUCGGAUGUGAAAUCCCCGGGCUCAACCUGGGAACUGCAUUCGAAACUGGCAGGCUAGAGUCUUGUAGAGGGGGGUAGAAUUCCAGGUGUAGCGGUGAAAU